GUAAAUAUAGUUUAAUUAAAACCCUAGUCUGUGAAUCUAGAAAUGGAAGUUAAACUCCUCCUAUUCACC
rnacentral:tRNA from 1 species